rnacentral:rRNA from 1 species
CUGACACAGGUGCUGCAUGGCUGUCGUCAGCUCGUGUCGUGAGAUGUUGGGUUAAGUCCCGUAACGAGCGCAACCCUUGUCCUUAGUUACCAGCACGUUAUGGUGGGCACUCUAAGGAGACUGCCGGUGACAAACCGGAGGAAGGUGGGGAUGACGUCAAAUCAUCAUGCCCCUUAUGACCUGGGCUACACACGUGCUACAAUGGUUGGUACAACGAGUUGCGAGUCGGUGACGGCGAGCUAAUCUCUUAAAGCCAAUCUCAGUUCGGAUUGUAGGCUGCAACUCGCCUACAUGAAGUCGGAAUCGCUAGUAAUCGCGGAUCAGCACGCCGCGGUCGAAUACGUUCCCGGGCCUU